rnacentral:rRNA from 1 species
GGUCAAGCGAACAAGUGCAUGUGGUGGAUGCCUUGGCGAUCACAGGCGAUGAAGGACGCGGUAGCCUGCGAAAAGCUACGGGGAGCUGGCAAACAAGCUUUGAUCCGUAGAUGUCCGAAUGGGGAAACCCACUCCUUAUGGAGUAUCCAUGGCUGAAUACAUAGGCCAUGUGAAGCGAACGCGGUGAACUGAAACAUCUAAGUAACCGCAGGAAAAGAAAUCAACCGAGAUUCCCAAAGUAGUGGCGAGCGAAAUGGGAUGAGCC